ensembl:lncRNA ITGA9-AS1 ITGA9 antisense RNA 1
CGGAAAGCGAAACCGUGGAUAAGCAGGGGAACUGUGGCAUCCCAUUUAAAAUUGCUUCUGUCUGUUCUGAAAAAUUGAGAAGAUGAUCUAUCUUCACUUCAAAAAGAAAUCUCUAAGGAGCAAGUGGACACAGCCUGCCUCCCAUAAGCUGUCUGGCUCACUCAUUUUAUUCCUGGAAAUCAGCAUUUCUCCAUUUUCUGUCUUCAGAAGUCAAUCAUUUCCUGAGAAAUGAGGAAAAAGAUGGAGGUCACAGAGACCAGUAAGAGCAAGGAGGGAGAGGAAAAAGCUGAACAUGAAACUCGAGGAAGAAACAGAAUAUGCAGAGGAAUAAAAAAAGUGAGUAGAUCUCUAGAGACAGAAAGUAGAUUAGCGGUUGCCUAGGGCUGGGGAGCAGGAAGAAUAGGGAGUAGGACAGGCAGCAUGACAGGCCCCCCAAAGAUGUCCAUGUCCUCAUCUGUGGAACCUGUGAAUGUUAUGUGGCCAGGGGGAAUUAAGGUUGCUAAUCAAGCGACCUCAAAAUAAAGAGGGUAUCUUGAAUUAUCCAGGUGAGCACAUUGUACUCACAAGAGUCCUUAUAUAGGGAAGAGGCAGAAGUCAGAUCAGAAAGAGAACAUCCUAAGACUUGACCAGCCAUUGCUGGCUUUGAAGAUGGAAGGGGGCCAUGAGCCAAAGAAUGCAGGCAGCCCUUAGAGGCUGGCAAAGGCAAGAAGUGGAUUUUCCCCUGGUGCCUCUGGCAAGAACACAGGCCCUGAUACUUUGGUUUUAGCCCAGCGGGGCCCAUUUUGGACUUCUGUUCUUCAGA